rnacentral:rRNA from 1 species
AGAGUUUGAUCAUGGCUCAGAUUGAACGCUGGCGGCAGGCUUAACACAUGCAAGUCGAGCGGGGGAAGGUAGCUUGCUACUGGACCUAGCGGCGGACGGGUGAGUAAUGCUUAGGAAUCUGCCUAUUAGUGGGGGACAACAUCUCGAAAGGGAUGCUAAUACCGCAUACGUCCUACGGGAGAAAGCAGGGGAUCUUCGGACCUUGCGCUAAUAGAUGAGCCUAAGUCGGAUUAGCUAGUUGGUGGGGUAAAGGCCUACCAAGGCGACGAUCUGUAGCGGGUCUGAGAGGAUGAUCCGCCACACUGGGACUGAGACACGGCCCAGACUCCUACGGGAGGCAGCAGUGGGGAAUAUUGGACAAUGGGGGGAACCCUGAUCCAGCCAUGCCGCGUGUGUGAAGAAGGCCUUAUGGUUGUAAAGCACUUUAAGCGAGGAGGAGGCUACUUUAGUUAAUACCUAGAGAUAGUGGACGUUACUCGCAGAAUAAGCACCGGCUAACUCUGUGCCAGCAGCCGCGGUAAUACAGAGGGUGCGAGCGUUAAUCGGAUUUACUGGGCGUAAAGCGUGCGUAGGCGGCUUAUUAAGUCGGAUGUGAAAUCCCCGAGCUUAACUUGGGAAUUGCAUUCGAUACUGGUGAGCUAGAGUAUGGGAGAGGAUGGUAGAAUUCCAGGUGUAGCGGUGAAAUGCGUAGAGAUCUGGAGGAAUACCGAUGGCGAAGGCAGCCAUCUGGCCUAAUACUGACGCUGAGGUACGAAAGCAUGGGGAGCAAACAGGAUUAGAUACCCUGGUAGUCCAUGCCGUAAACGAUGUCUACUAGCCGUUGGGGCCUUUGAGGCUUUAGUGGCGCAGCUAACGCGAUAAGUAGACCGCCUGGGGAGUACGGUCGCAAGACUAAAACUCAAAUGAAUUGACGGGGGCCCGCACAAGCGGUGGAGCAUGUGGUUUAAUUCGAUGCAACGCGAAGAACCUUACCUGGCCUUGACAUACUAGAAACUUUCCAGAGAUGGAUUGGUGCCUUCGGGAAUCUAGAUACAGGUGCUGCAUGGCUGUCGUCAGCUCGUGUCGUGAGAUGUUGGGUUAAGUCCCGCAACGAGCGCAACCCUUUUCCUUACUUGCCAGCAUUUCGGA